CCAACCAGUCGGAGAUUUGUUGUCGCGUAUCCGAAUCUUGUGGUAUUCAUAAAAUUAAUUAAAAUCAAGAUACUGACCAUUCAUGUUUAUGCAGAUACAUAAAGUAAAUAUAAUAACAUCUCAUGGCAUGAUAUAUAUACUUCGUGCAUUGUGUUUUAGUAACAGAUACAUCCAUAUAUCAUCGCGUUCCAAGUUUUCGACGUUUCGAGUCGUGAUGGCUCGUACCACAAGGCCUUGAGUUACUUUCUGCCGUGAAAACAGGAAUACAAGACAACACCUUAACUUUCCCCGAUUUCCAAGAGACUAUAAAAGAUCUGAUAGAGUGAGCAUGGAGGAAAUCUUUCGGCAACAAAAUAAGAUCUACAAGAGAUAUUUAAAAAAUGUUGAGGCCAAGAUGUACAUGACUCCCAUAUCGGCACACGUAAUACAUUCAGCAUCUCUAAAUAUACCAAGAAAUCUACAGCUAUUCAUCUGCAUAAAACGGUGAAUAACAUUUCCGCUCAGUAUGGAGUGAUGAGAUGCAGCUCCCACUUGAUUGCAACUGCUGGUGCUGCCAGUGCCACACUGCCAAUGACACCCCAUCACCAUCACCACCACACAUCCGAUGUUGGUUUCAACUCUUCCUAUGGCAAACUUUGCAAAACUUCUAUAUGAGUGCAUAGAUAUAACUCCUUGUAUGCUGAACCGAGUCGAAAGGAAACUCAACCAUCACAUCAAGAGAGGGUGUUUUCAGUUUUCUUCUUCUAUGGCAGAUGAUUGAAACUCAGGUGGUGCAACAGCGCUCCAGGAAUAACAUUGGCAAUUAGUUUCCACGUAUAGGCAAAGGGGAGAACGGCUAAAAGCAAAUUACAAGAAAAUAGAAGAUAGAAACUCGUCGGCAAGCACACUGAGAAAUAUGACCAGCAGAGGUCGUCACAUUUUUGAGGGAUUGAAAAAAGGAGAAAAGAUGCUUGGCAAGAGUGAUCAUGCGUUUAAAUAUCUAAAUUACUAAAUAUGUCAAAGAAGAGUAUGGACUUCUUGACAUUCUGAAGGACCUGCUGCCCCAGCGCUUCUACUUAUGUGAUAAGAAUCAAAAAUGGAAACAAAUGCUAGGUUACAUGCUGUCAAAAACUUAAACAAAUUGGAGAAAGAAUCCAUUGUUAUUGGGUGGUGGGGUGUGCAUAGAGAGUGGUAUGGGACCAAUGUGUGAAUAGGAAAUCGGUAAAGCAUUGAGAUAUAUUUGUACAAAAUCCUUAUUUUAAGCACAGCAAGUCAAAAGUAUUCGUAUGUACAUGUGUAUGGUGCUCCACAUCUCGAAGCCAUUUUGUGGACUCAAUUUCUCAAGAUGGAGAUGGAGUUGCAGUCAGAAUUGUCUCUAAUCUAGAGAAAGCUCCAUUUAUGUGAAUUUCGCAGCACAAACCCUCAAGUAGAUCAGAUGCUGCAUGUCUUAAUGUGAUGGUUGUAUUAAGUAAUUGCAGACUUCUCUCUAGUUAUAGCUGGAAUUGUGUUAGAAAUGAAUCGCACUCGUGACCUCUGUAAUAACACAACAUUGAGUGCGGAAUAUAUGUCUGUGGUUCAUCCGAUCAAGUCAGAACUUCGCAGCAGAUAGGAAGUAGUCAGUGAAUAUUGCCGUCAAUUCGUUACUGAGAAGUCUCCUGUAACGUCCUAUGGUAAAUUGAUCACAGUUAGCAGUUUCUAUGUAACACUAGAGGCUCUUCAGUGCAUUAAUUUUACAGAGAAAAAAUGGAUAGCGAUUUACAAAAUUAUCCCACAUCCGAACAGUAAUGACAGGAUUUAAAAAUAAAUUCAAAACAAAUAUGGCCAAUAUGACUUUUCCGGAUUUUCACAAUAUCUGCGAAAAUUUAAUUUAUUGAAAUGUUGAUAACAAUUACUGUAUUUAUGGAACAUGAUAGCGAAAUAACAGAAUAAAAGAUUUAAUAAAAUUGGACAGUUAUUCUGUUUGUUUUUCAAAUAAUCUCAUGUGUACUUUUGCUAAUA